UUUCCGUAGGUGAACCUGCGGAAGGAUCAUUACUGAGUGAGGGCCCUCUGGGUCCAACCUCCCACCCGUGUUUAUUGUACCUUGUUGCUUCGGUGCGCCCGCCUCACGGCCGCCGGGGGGCUUCUGCCCCCGGGUCCGCGCGCACCGGAGACACCAUUGAACUCUGUCUGAAGAUUGCAGUCUGAGCAUAAACUAAAUAAGUUAAAACUUUCAACAACGGAUCUCUUGGUUCCGGCAUCGAUGAAGAACGCAGCGAAAUGCGAUAACUAAUGUGAAUUGCAGAAUUCAGUGAAUCAUCGAGUCUUUGAACGCACAUUGCGCCCCCUGGUAUUCCGGGGGGCAUGCCUGUCCGAGCGUCAUUGCUGCCCUCAAGCACGGCUUGUGUGUUGGGCUCCGUCCCCCCGGGGACGGGCCCGAAAGGCAGCGGCGGCACCGAGUCCGGUCCUCGAGCGUAUGGGGCUUUGUCACCCGCUCUGUAGGCCCGGCCGGCGCCAGCCGACAACCCAUCAUCCUUUUCAGGUUGACCUCGGAUCAGGUAGGGAUACCCGCUGAACUUAAGCAUAUCAAUAAGCGG
rnacentral:rRNA from 1 species